CACCAAACAAGUGAGAGUGUG
rnacentral:miRNA from 2 species